UUCUAGCCGCGAUAGUAGCGGCAUCCUUUUUAAAAUUGUUGCCUGAGGCUCUCGAAGGCAAUAAUUUUAAAAAGAUAUAGCGGAUAGCGGGACAAAAA
rnacentral:sRNA from 1 species